rnacentral:tRNA from 1 species
GCAAUGAUGGUUCAGUGGUAGAAUUCUUGUCUUCCAUGCAGGAUAUCUGGUUUAAUUCCCAGCCAAUGCA